UACGGGGGGAGCAACCGUUGUUCGGAAUCACUGGGCGUAAAGGGCGCGUAGGCGGCGGGACAAGCGUGCGGUGAAAGCCUGGGGCUCAACCCCGGGUCGGCCGUGCGAACUGUUUUGCUUGAGCACUGUAGAGGCAGGCGGAAUUCCGGGUGUAGCGGUGGAAUGCGUAGAGAUCCGGAAGAACACCGGUGGCGAAGGCGGCCUGCUGGGCAGUAGCUGACACUGAGGCGCGACAGCGUGGGGAGCAAACAGG
rnacentral:rRNA from 1 species